GUAUUUGAAACAGACCGAAUUUCCUCCUCGAUGUGGCGUCAGGUUGACUUUUCGAGACUAGCGGGUAUUUCUUUUUAAUGACUCCAAUGCCUUUUUAUUAUUGCUGUUAUUGAGGUUGAGGGAGAAGAGAUCGGUCUAAAUUCUGGCUGGGUAAGUGGGGGGAUUCUCGGCGAUGAGAAACGGGGGACUUAGAAGCCGGAGGAAAAUCAGCAGCCCCACAUCUCCACUUCUCCAGUCCGCCCUACUCUCCACCCGUGACCUCCAGUGGAGACCCCAGGCGGCAGCAUCAGUAUUUGAUCGGCCCUUCGUCAGCACGCUGCCAGCCCUGGCCGGCUGGGUUCGCCAGGCAUCACCCGCUCGGCUCUGAAGCGGACGCCUGGCCCUGCACCGGGCUUUGGAAGGACCCUCUCUGCGCUCGCCCCCUCCCCAGGGUGGCUCCGCUUUCGAGCCCGGGCGCGGUGCCCACCAUGCGCGGCUGCCUGCGGCUCGCGCUGCUCUGCGCGCUGCCCUGGCUCCUGCUGGCGGCGUCGCCCGGGCACCCGGCGAAAUCCCCCAGGCAGCCCCCGGCACCGCGCCGCGACCCCUUCGACGCUGCCAGGGGCGCCGAUUUCGAUCAUGUCUACAGCGGGGUGGUGAACCUCAGCACCGAGAACAUCUACUCUUUCAACUACACCAGCCAGCCCGACCAGAAUUGAAAGAAGGCCAGGCGCAGUGGCUCACACCUGUAAUCCCAGCACUUUGGGAGGCUGAGGCGGGCAGAUCACUGGAGGUGACAGCCGUGAGGGUGUAUGUGAACAGUUCCUCUGAGAAUCUCAACUACCCGGUCCUUGUUGUGGUUCGCCAGCAGAAAGAGGUGCUGUCCUGGCAGGUUCCUCUGCUCUUCCAAGGACUAUACCAGAGGAGCUACAACUAUCAAGAAGUGAGCCGCACCUUAUGUCCCUCAGAAGCAACCAAUGAGACGGGACCCUUGCAGCAACUGAUAUUUGUAGAUGUCGCAUCCAUGGCACCCCUGGGUGCUCAGUACAAACUGCUAGUUACCAAGCUGAAGCACUUCCAGCUCCGGACAAAUGUUGCCUUUCACUUUACUGCCAGCCCCUCUCAACCUCAGUAUUUUCUAUACAAGUUUCCCAAAGACGUGGACUCAGUUAUCAUUAAAGUGGUGUCUGAAAUGGCUUAUCCAUGUUCUGUUGUCUCAGUCCAGAAUAUCAUGUGCCCGGUGUAUGAUCUCGACCACAAUGUGGAAUUUAAUGGUGUCUAUCAGUCCAUGACCAAGAAAGCUGCCAUCACGCUACAGAAGAAGGAUUUUCCAGGCGAGCAGUUCUUCGUGGUAUUUGUGAUAAAGCCUGAAGAUUAUGCCUGUGGAGGAUCUUUCUUCAUCCAGGAAAAGGAAAACCAGACCUGGAAUCUACAGCGAAAAAAGAACCUUGAAGUGACCAUUGUCCCUUCCAUUAAAGAAUCUGUUUAUGUGAAAUCCAGUCUUUUCAGUGUCUUCAUCUUCCUGUCCUUCUACUUGGGAUGCCUUCUUGUUGGGUUUGUUCAUUAUCUGAGGUUUCAGAGAAAAUCCAUUGAUGGAAGCUUUGGGUCCAAUGAUGGCUCUGGAAAUAUGGUGGCAUCUCAUCCCAUUGCUGCCAGCACACCCGAAGGGAGCAAUUAUGGGACAAUAGAUGAGUCAAGCUCCAGUCCUGGAAGGCAGAUGUCCUCCUCCGAUGGUGGGCCACCGGGCCAGUCAGACACAGACAGCUCCGUGGAGGAGAGCGACUUCGACACCAUGCCAGACAUUGAGAGUGAUAAAAACAUCAUCCGGACCAAGAUGUUCCUUUACCUGUCAGAUUUGUCCAGGAAGGACCGGAGAAUUGUCAGCAAAAAAUAUAAAAUUUAUUUUUGGAACAUCAUCACCAUUGCUGUGUUUUACGCGCUGCCCGUGAUCCAGCUGGUCAUUACCUAUCAGACAUGCCUUCAACAACAUUCUCAGCAAUCUGGGCCACGUGCUUCUGGGCUUCCUCUUCCUGCUGAUAGUCUUGCGCCGCGACAUCCUCCAUCGGAGAGCCCUGGAAGCCAAGGACAUCUUUGCUGUGGAGUACGGGAUUCCCAAACACUUUGGUCUCUUCUACGCUAUGGGCAUUGCAUUGAUGAUGGAAGGGGUGCUCAGUGCUUGCUACCAUGUCUGCCCUAAUUAUUCCAACUUCCAAUUCGACACCUCCUUCAUGUACAUGAUCGCUGGCCUGUGCAUGCUGAAGCUCUAUCAGACCCGCCACCCAGACAUCAAUGCCAGCGCCUACUCUGCCUAUGCCUCCUUUGCUGUGGUCAUCAUGGUCACCGUCCUUGGAGUGGUGUUUGGAAAAAAUGACGUAUGGUUCUGGGUCAUCUUCUCUGCAAUCCACGUUCUGGCCUCGCUAGCCCUCAGCACCCAGAUAUAUUAUAUGGGUCGUUUCAAGAUAGAUGUGUCUGACACAGAUUUGGGAAUUUUCCGGCGGGCUGCCAUGGUGUUCUACACAGACUGUAUCCAGCAGUGUAGCCGACCUCUAUAUAUGGAUAGAAUGGUGUUGCUGGUUGUGGGGAAUCUGGUUAACUGGUCCUUCGCCCUCUUUGGAUUGAUAUACCGCCCCAGGGACUUUGCUUCCUACAUGCUGGGCAUCUUCAUCUGUAACCUUUUGCUGUACCUGGCCUUUUACAUCAUCAUGAAGCUCCGCAGCUCUGAAAAGGUCCUCCCAGUCCCGCUCUUCUGCAUCGUGGCCACCGCUGUGAUGUGGGCUGCCGCCCUAUAUUUUUUCUUCCAGAAUCUCAGCAGCUGGGAGGGAACUCCGGCCGAAUCCCGGGAGAAGAACCGCGAGUGCAUUCUGCUGGAUUUCUUCGAUGACCAUGACAUCUGGCACUUCCUCUCUGCUACUGCUCUGUUUUUCUCAUUCUUGGUUUUGUUAACUUUGGAUGAUGACCUUGAUGUGGUUCGGAGAGACCAGAUCCCUGUCUUCUGAACCUCCAACAUUAAGAGAGGGGAGGGAGCGAUCAAUCUUGGUGCUGUUUCACAAAAAUUACAGUGACCACAGCAAAGUAACCACUGCCAGAUGCUCCACUCACCCUCUGUAGAGCCAACUCUGCAUUCACACAGGAAGGAGAGGGGCUGCGGGAGAUUUAAACCUGCAAGAAAGGAGGCAGAAGGGGAGCCAUGUUUUGAGGACAGACGCAAACCUGAGGAGCUGAGAAACACUUGCUCCUUCCAUCUGCAGCUUUGGGAGUGCAACAGGGAUAGGCACUGCAUCCAAGUCAACUCACCAUCUUGGGGUCCCUCCCACCCUCACGGAGACUUGCCAGCAAUGGCAGAAUGCUGCUGCACACUUCCCUCCAGUUGUCACCCUGCCCAGAAAGGCCAGCAGCUUGGACUUCCUGCCCAGAAACUGUGUUGGCCCCCUUCACACCUCUGCAACACCUGCUGCUCCAGCAAGAGGAUGUGAUUCUUUAGAAUAUGGCGGGGAGGUGACCCCAGGCCCUGCCCUACUGGGAUAGAUGUUUUAAUGGCACCAGCUAGUCACCUCCCAGAAGAAACUCUGUAUAUUUCCCCCAGGUUUCUGAUGCCAUCAGAAGGGCUCAGGAGUGGGGUUUGUCACACAUUCCUCUUAACAAGUAACUGUCACUGGGACCGAGUCCUGGGUGCUUACAUAUUCCUUCGUGUCUUCAUCUCACUGACCUGUGUGGACCUCAUCACUCUGACUCUGCCUUCUUGGAAAGGCCCUGUCACUCCACAGAUGUCUGGCCAGCUUCAAGGCAGAAGGAAAAACAGGAAAAGCUCUUUUAACAGCAGCAGGAACAAGAGAAAUGACUAACCAUACUAAAAGACUGGUAACAGCAGCAGCAGCCAGACAGGCCUCACCUUAAGGACUUGGGCUGCCAGAGCAAAUUCAGCAGAGCUUAUUUGGCCUCCCAUUCACACAGCUCAGUUCUGUGCCCACAUCACCUUUGGGGAAGAAAUCAGCAUUCUAAUCAGGGACACUACUUCAGGAGUCCUCCACAGCGAGUCCGUCAUCUGUCACUUUAUGUAGAUCAGGGUUCUAGACUUCUUCCCUGAGGUUCUCAGAAGCAGCUCUCAGGAUGAACGUAUUGUCCUCUUCCCCUCUUCUUGCAAAGUGCACAGCUAAUCUAAUGUUGUCUCUCGGUUGCACCUGACAUUCUCUCCCCAGUAAGGUGUUGGCAAGCUCAGCAUCUGGGUUCCACUCUCACACUGUCUGGCAGCUCUGUGUCUGAGAAGUUCUACAUUGACCAGGCCCCCUUGUUGCCUGGAGUAUGACGUAAUCAGAAAAUAGACGUAUAAAUGUGCACAUGCGUAUGUAUUUGCUUGUGAAAUUAAAGUCACCUCUUGCCUCUGCUUUCCUGAUCAUUCGUUAGAGAAAUGGAUCAGGCAUUUUUUUAAAUUAUUAUUCUUUCUCUAAACUAUUUGCAUUGUGUUCAAAAACCCAUUUUAGAAGUUUGAACAGCAAGCUUUUCCUGAUUUUAAAAACACAAAGUUGCUUUCAAUGAAAUAUUUUGUGAUUUUUUUAAAGUCCCCAAAUGUGUACUUAGCCUUCUGUUAUUCCUUAUUCUUUAAGCAGUGUUGGCUUCCAUUGACCAUAUGAAGGCCACCAAUUAAAUGGUUGUGUUAAUCCAACAUGUAAAAAACUUUUUGGCAGGGCACAGUGGCUCACGCCUGUAAUCCCAACACUUUGGGAGGCUGAGGCAGGAGGAUCACUUGAGCCCAGGAGAUUGACGCCGCAGUGAACUAUGAUUGUGCCCCUGCACUCCAGCCUGGAUGACAGAGUGAGACCCCAUCUCUUAAAAAAUAAAAAAAAAUAAAAAUUUGAACCUGUUUCA